rnacentral:rRNA from 1 species
AAAAAAACUUUCAACAACGGAUCUCUUGGCUCUCGCAUCGAUGAAGAACGCAGCGAAAUGUGAUAAGUAAUGUGAAUUGCAGAAUUCAGUGAAUCAUCGAAUCUUUGAACGCAUCUUGCGCUCGCUGGUAUUCCGGCGAGCAUGUCUGUUUGAGUGUCGUGAACUCUUCAACCCCCCCUUUUUCUUAUGGAGACUGGGGUGCGGCUUGGUUUCUGAACGCUUGCUGGACUGGAAUUCCUUUUGGGGGAUUCUAAGGUCGGAGCUCGUUCGUAAUGCAUUAGCAUCCUAACCUUCGAGAUCAGAUUGACUCGGCGUAAUAGACUAUUCGCUGAGGACAUCGCAUCCCUUUACUGGGGUGUGAUGGCUGGCCUGGGAAAAAGUGGAAGCUGCUAGACCCCUGACGAUAAGUCACUAUUCUAAGCUUAGACCUCAGAUCAGGCAGGAUACCCGC